rnacentral:lncRNA from 1 species
GUCCACUUUCUCUCAUUUUUCUUCUGAAAUGCACAAGCAGCACGGCAUCGUUUUCUCUCUUCUUCUCCAUCUUCUCUUCCCCCUCUACGCCCCCUACCCGUCUUUCCUUCAACACGUGCACACAAGCACACACGUUAGUUUUCUCUUAUUUAUUUAUUUUUUUUAAUCCCCAGGGGACUCACGGAACAGUCUGUGUGCAGCUGCUGUGUUUUCCGCUUGUUAAAUUGGCAGUUACCUACUGCGUAGAGUUGCUAGGAGAAGGAGUAUCAUCAUGGGGUCUACUGCUACAGAAACUGAAGAAGUGGAAAACACUACUUUUAAGUAUCUCAUAGGAGAACAGACUGAAAAAAUGUGGCAACGCCUGAAAGGAAUGUGAGUAAGCUCUUUGCUUGGUUCUGUGUUUUUAUCCACCUCUCUGAUAAAAAAUUUUGAGUAUUAACAUGUUGAAUUAUUGGC